AUAGGAAGAUUGGUCCGACCUUUUUACAUGGUGGAGCUAUCAACACAUGGUGGAGAAAUCAUUACACCUUACACCUCUCUCUCUCUCUCUCUCUCGAUCUCGAUCUCGAUCUCCAAUAUUAUUGUGAGCGGUGUAUGCGCGCGCGGAGUCAAUGGAGGAUGAUUUAUUCCAAUCUUCUCAUUGUUUGUCCCUUCCCUCUCCCCACAAGAAAAUGAACAAUAUUUUCUCUUCUUCUCGUUUUCUACUCGCUUCAUUUCCUUUAUUCUUCCUCUCCUUGUUCUCCACAUCUUGACUCCUGUUACUUUAUGGAUACCUUUCCCUCUCCUCUCUCGCUCUCAUAAAUUUUUCACAGCAAUGGGAGGCUGCCCAGGGCAAACGUAACGUGGGGCGGAGGCAAUGGAAAUGGAGGUGGGCAACCUGCCAAGGGAGCUCUGUUGGAUUCUCUUUGUAAAACCUAUGUGAUGAUUGGAUUCUAACAUUCAUGUUCAUGCGCUCUCUAAAUAGUAAAGAAAGAGAUAAAGGUAAGUACGAGCACCCUUUUGAUCCUUACUGCAACAUCUCUCAUUUCUUUGUUUUGUUUCCUUUGCUUCCAUCAUGCAAUAUCAUGAUGCCUGGCAUUGACUGCCCAUUUUUAUGAUCGUUAUCUGUUAUUAUGUUUUCUAGGAAAAUUAUCUGUUGCCAAACUCCUAUUGCAGCUAUUCGCAUUACUCCUUUUUUUUCCCUUGUUGUGUUUUUUUUUAGCAAUGGCAUAUCCAUUAAUUCAUCCACGAGUGAGAGGAAUGGACGAAGCCGUAAAAGUUCAGGUGCUGCUAACAACUGAAGCUUCCUUUCUGCAUUGAUUGAGAAAAUGAAAGGGUCAAAAGUUGUGCUUCAUUAGAAAGCUUAGUUUUAUUUUUCUUACCUUCUAGGCUUUCCAGUCUCCAAAACCAUAUAAAAACAAACCAAUAUUUAGUUCUUCUGGAAUACUUUCUUUUGGUCCCAAAUGCAAAAGCAUUCCUGCUUUCUCUCUCCAUUGAAUUGUGAGACAUAGCUGACCUUUCUUUCUAACUACUUUCUUCUUCUCUCAUUCUGCUCCUUCUUUGUCUUUCUUCUUUUUUUUUUGGCGCAGGGGGGGAUGAAGCUCCCGGCCACUUUAAUUUUCUUUCAAACGGAAAAAAGAACAAGUGAUUAUUAUGGGAUCGAUGCUUAGACGACCACCUUCAAUAUUUAUAAAAUCUAAUUCCUGCUACUUCUAAAGUCUAGUUUAUUUUCUCUUCUUUUUUUGUUCCUUAACAGAUACUUAACUCGGUUGAGGUUUUCAUGCCGUACACAAUGGGCUUGGAGAGAAAGGAAAGAGGCGAUGGUGAUACAUCGAGACAUGCAUCCCUCAUCAAUGUUAGUAAAUAAAUUAAUAUAGUAAGUAGAACAAACGCACGAAUCCUCCUAUCAACACUGCGCGUCUGGAGAAACGAUACCUGAGAGAGAUCUUGAUAUCCACGCAUCUAAAGAGGAGCAAUCACAAUUGGGAGAAGGAUUGAUCCUGCAACUGGACUGCCUCUUCCAUGGCUGACACAAGAUUAAUUAGUCCAUGUCGUUACAAGGUGGUGGGGGGCAAGUGAGAAAGGUAAUUCAAAGCCUUAACUUACAGAAGCUCACAGGCCGAGUACGUACACGUACCUCGGUACUGGAUUAAGUUGGCGUGGCAGAGAUGGUGGGUCCACUUGAGAUCAAAGAUUUUAAACAUAAGCUCGGAUGCAAAGUCUCACAGGCUCAAGCAUUACACAAGUUAGACUGACUAAGUUGGGCAGCUUCGCUAACAAUUCUUGGCGUGGCCCGAGUUGUAAAUUUUUUUUACUGUCGAUGAAUGUAAAUAAUUUUAAUAGGCUAAAAAAAAAUUGGUGAGAUUUCUCUGGAUCAAGUUCGCGGCUAGCCGAGUUUGUAAAAAACUUUUACAACCGAUGUAUAUAAAGAAUUUUAAUAGGUCGAAAAAAUAUUGGUGAGAUUUCUCUUAAUCAAGCUCACAAAAGAUAGAUAUGUGUUGGGACUAGCUGAUUGCAAGAAUUUUCAACAACUAGCAUGAUUUUUUUUUGUAUGAAUGAACUGAAAAUUUUAUAGGAUUCAUAAAUUAAGACAACAUAUCCGGCAAGAUUAUAGGCUACAUGGUGAUUAGGUUUGUAUUUAUAAAAUAUUUAAAAAUAACUUUGGGGUGAAGGACCUCUGCAUUCGAAAAUAGCCGGUCUAUUUUCUCAACCUUUUCUUCUCUCCUCUCUCUCUCUCCCCCAAACUCCCAAUCGAGCUCUUUGGGGUGAAGGAUCUGUAUGGUUUUCUCCCUCUUUUCUCUCUUCCAUCCGAGCUCUUUCCCCUCUCUACCGUUCUCUUCUCUCGUCUCUCUCUCUCUCUCUCCCUCUUAAUCUAUCUC